rnacentral:rRNA from 1 species
AUUGAACGCUGGCGGCAUGCUUUACACAUGCAAGUCGAACGGUAACAGGCCGCAAGGUGCUGACGAGUGGCGAACGGGUGAGUAAUGCAUCGGAACGUGCCCAGUCGUGGGGGAUAACGCAGCGAAAGCUGCGCUAAUACCGCAUACGAUCUAUGGAUGAAAGCGGGGGACCGUAAGGCCUCGCGCGAUUGGAGCGGCCGAUGUCGGAUUAGGUAGUUGGGGGGGUAAAGGCGCACCAAGCCAACGAUCUGUAGCUGGUCUGAGAGGACGACCAGCCACGCUGGGACUGAGACACGGACCAGACUCCUACGGGAGGCAGCAGUGGGGAAUUUUGGACAAUGGGCGCAAGCCUGAUCCAGCAAUGCCGCGUGCAGGAAGAAGGCCUUCGGGUUGUAAACUGCUUUUGUACGGAACGAAAAGGCUCUGGUUAAUACCUGGGGCUCAUGACGGUACCGUAAGAAUAAGCACCGGCUAACUACGUGCCAGCCGCCGCGGUAA